rnacentral:rRNA from 1 species
GACGAACGCUGGCGGCGUGCUUAACACAUGCAAGUCGAACGGAAAGGCCCUGCUUUUGUGGGGUGCUCGAGUGGCGAACGGGUGAGUAACACGUGAGUAACCUGCCCUUGACUUUGGGAUAACUUCAGGAAACUGGGGCUAAUACCGGAUAGGAGCUCCUGCUGCAUGGUGGGGGUUGGAAAGUUUCGGCGGUUGGGGAUGGACUCGCGGCUUAUCAGCUUGUUGGUGGGGUAGUGGCUUACCAAGGCUUUGACGGGUAGCCGGCCUGGGAGGGUGACCGGCCACAGUGGGACUGAGGUACGGCCCAGACUCCUACGGGAGGCAGCAGUGGGGAAUAUUGCACAAUGGGCGGAAGCCUGAUGCAGCAACGCCGCGUGCGGGAUGACGGCCUUCGGGUUGUAAACCGCUUUCGCCUGUGACGAAGCGUGAGUGACGGUAAUGGGUAAAGAAGCACCGGCUAACUACGUG